rnacentral:lncRNA from 1 species
UUCAGCCAGGAGAGCGCUGAAGGGAUCUGAGCUGAGAGCAAGUCUCAAACUCAGAGAAUGGAGGAGCUGCCCCGGAAGUGGCUGCUCGAGGCUGCAGUGAACUAUGAUCCUGCGGCCAAUCGCGGUGGCUCACGCCUGUAAUCCCAGCCUUCUGGGAGGCCGAGGCGGGCGGAUCGCUUGAGGUCAGAAGUUCGACACUAGCUUGGCCAACAUGGUAAAACACCGUCUCUACAAAAAAAUGCAAAAAUUAGUUGGGUGUGGUGGCGCGCGCCUGUGGUCCCAGCUACUCAGGAGGCUGAGGUGGGAGGAACGCUUGAGCGGGGGAGGCGGAAGUUACAGUGAGUCGAGAUCGCCCCACUGCACUCCAGCCUGGACAACAGAAUGAGACCCUGUCUAAAAAUAAAAUACAUGAGCCGA